AGUGAACGCUGGCGGUAGGCCUAACACAUGCAAGUCGAACGGCAGCACAGUAAGAGCUUGCUCUUACGGGUGGCGAGUGGCGGACGGGUGAGGAAUACAUCGGAAUCUACUUUUUCGUGGGGGAUAACGUAGGGAAACUUACGCUAAUACCGCAUACGACCUACGGGUGAAAGCAGGGGAUCUUCGGACCUUGCGCGAUUGAAUGAGCCGAUGUCGGAUUAGCUAGUUGGCGGGGUAAAGGCCCACCAAGGCGACGAUCCGUAGCUGGUCUGAGAGGAUGAUCAGCCACACUGGAGCUGAGACACGGUCCAGGCUCCUACGGGGGGCAGCAGUGGGGAAUAUUGGACAAUGGGCGCAAGCCUGAUCCAGCCAUACCGCGUGGGUGAAGAAGGCCUUCGGGUUGUAAAGCCCUUUUGUUGGGAAAGAAAAGCAGCAGGUUAAUACCCCGCUGUUCUGACGGUACCCAAAGAAUAAGCACCGGCUAACUUCGU
rnacentral:rRNA from 1 species